UGGAAAUGUGUUACUAAAAAAUGACAGCUGGAGGAACAUUUCAGGACCAGUUAUGUUAAUUGGCAACAGGCCAUUAACAUGACUAGGCAUUUAAAAUAAAUAAAUAAAUAAAUACAUUUAAACAAAACGUAGAGUAUCUGUGAGAGGCUCUCAAAAGUAAAGAAUUCACCAAUCUGUAAAAAACUGCGUACAAAUUGUGGAACAAUUUCAGAAUAAAUGUUCCUCAACCACAGAUUGCAAGACUUAUAUUUUCUGCGACAGUACAUAAUAUCAAUACAUUUCGAGAUUCUUGAGACAAAACCAAUAUUGGAAGUUCAUGGUGGCACUGCAUGAAAAACUGGCAUGAUUUUGUAAUAAAAAUCACUGCAUGGGCUCAAAAACACCUCAAUAAAAUCAAUAUAUGAAGACCGUUUGCUGUGUCAGCAGCUAUACGUGUACAUGAUCUAGAAACACCAGCAUCUAAAUUGGCCCGAAGUGGAAAACUGUUAUGUGGUUAGAUCUAAACUUGAAAUUCAUGAAACAAUGGAUGAAACACCCCCUGGAAUAAAGAUGAGAAGGAUCAUUUGGCUUGCUACACUAGCAGCCCAAUUAAAAGUCUGUUUGUCUGAUGGCAUUAGUGCCUAUGGAAUGGACAGCUCGCACAUUUGGAAAGUCACCUUCAGUACUGAAAGGUAUAGAUCGUGUUUAGAGCAACAUAUGCUUCAAUACAAAUGAUGUCUUUCUCAGAGAAGACUGUGCAUAUUUCAGCAAUAGACCAAAUGCUAAACUGGCCAGCCUAAACUAAACAUGAAACAAAAAAAAAAAAACCAUGACAGACAGAGAACUGUUGUACAUCCCUCUCCCAAACUUCAGCAACUAGUCUCCUCAGUUCCCACACUUAUAUGGACUGUUAGAAGAAGGAAUGCCACACAAUAGUAAACAUGGUUCUGUCCCAAAUUUGUUUUGAGACACAAGCUGCUCUUUACCCUCUAACGCUGAGGCUCAAAUCAAAACUGAUUCGGAUAUUACUUCUGUCUUUAACCUUAAACAGCUUGCUUAAGUUAACAGCUGCUAAAACUCUUUCUCCAGCUAAUACGGCUGCAAUCAAGACCUAGAUGACCCUUAAAAGGUUUUUGUGUAAAACUUGGAUUAUGAUCAAACUGCUUUCCAGACAAGGCUGAUGUAUAAAACUGAAUCAAAG